GGGCUUGCUUUGGCAGCUCGUAUACUAAAGUUGGAACCAGACAGAGAUUAUCAUGGCCUCUGUGCAAGGAUGAAACGCAAGUUUGCAAAGUGUCCAUAUUUUAA